GGAGCGCGACGCUCUCCCCAAGGACGAAGCCAUGCAUGCCCGCUCACCCGGGACGCGGCGGACGGCUCAGGACGACGGUUGCACCCCCCGCGGCGGUCCCUGCAAGCCGGACACCGCUGGCAACCCGGCGCCAAGACGUGCGCGCAAGGGCGGGCGCCCGCGGGCGAGCAGCGUGACGCAGCGACGGCCCGCCCGGGCUUCCGGGGCAUCACCCGGUCGGCGCGGUCGCGGCGCGCCGAGGGCCCGACG
rnacentral:rRNA from 1 species